AAACUUUCAACAACGGAUCUCUUGGUUCCCGCAUCGAUGAAGAACGCAGCGAAACGCGAUAGUUAAUGUGAAUUGCAGAAUUCAGUGAAUCAUCGAGUCUUUGAACGCACAUUGCGCCCAUUGGUAUUCCGAUGGGCAUGUCUGUUUGAGC
rnacentral:rRNA from 1 species